rfam:Picea glauca, whole genome shotgun sequence.
AUGUAAUGUAAUGCCUACAACGUUAAUGCACUAGAUCCCAUUAUAACUCCAUAGUUAAGCACGCUUAGUCUAGAGUAGUACUGGGAUGGUUGACCUCCCGAAAAGUCCUAGUGUUUUACAUG